CCCUCGACAGCUGAGAUUAAAAAGAUAAUAAUAAUUUCUUGCAAUUCUACACAUUUUGGCAAGGGGCAUAGAGAAAAUGUGGCAAUUUAAAGCAAGUUUAUUUGCUGCAAUUUUAAACAUUUCGCCAUGGGGCUGAGAGAAGAUUUUGCAAUUGUAUAACUACUUUCCUGCAAUUCUACUCAUUUUGCCAUUGGGUGGAGAGAAAUGUUUGCAGUUUUGAGCAUGAUAUCUCAGUGACUAACGAAUUCAAUGGGGGCCCCCUGGUCGGUAAUUUGAUAAUGAUUGCUUCAAGUUUAGAUAGCUGGCUAGACUAAUUUACCUGACAUGGGCUAAUUCAGUGACUGAUAUAACAAUAGAAAAACUGUUGAUACACAACCAAAUUUCUAAAUAGCACCUUGUCUAUUCUAACUAUCAACAUUAAGUUGAGACCCAGACAAAAAAAAUAAAAAUGAAUUUUUUGGUCGUGAGCCACCAGUUGCCCAUCCCUGCCCUAAAUGGUCAGCAGAUGGUGCCGCGAUCCUGUAGGAAGGAUGAGUAGAAAAUAUAGCAUUCUCACGUAGGGAUUCUCUCAGAAGACAUUUAAGAAAUUCCACUAAAUUGUCAGCAUUGACACUCGAAUGACAGAGAAAGAUAUAUUUAUGGCCUUCAACUUCCGUUGGAAUAUUUCGAAAAAGGUGUUGAUUUAAACCCAAAAAUAUUUUCUCAAUCUUUUCUUUUUCUGUUUCUCUGCUUUUUUUGUAACUUAUUAAAUGGGGUCUAACGGGAGAAACAGAAAAAGAUCGACAAAAUUGUGAUUACAGAUCAUACAAAGUGAGAAUGCAGCAUGUGCUUAUUGGAGAUCUAUCUGUCUUGACUACUUGGCACCGUGACCAUCCAGUAGCAAGUAGUGGCACAAGUUAUUAGCUAGCUAACGUUAGCUACAUAAUGAUUUAUCCUGACAACCUUGACGCACAAUAUAUUUUGUUAAAUUCUCAGCAAUAUUCACAAUUUAAUUUAAGCCAGAAUGCAUUACGAUUGUAUGUUAGCUUACCUUGUAGCUGUUUGCUAGCAGGAUCCAGAGUUAAACGUCCUGCCUGAGCGACCAACUAGUAUAGUCAUAAUGUUACCUUUCCAACUGGUAAUGGCGAAAUAGGAGGAAUGCCUCUGCUGUCGGGAGUGGGCACAGGGUCAGGGACUGCUAGCAGGGAUUGAGGAGGGUGCAUGCCUCCUCGCCAACCCCAGCUUUGGCCUGCGACAGAGGGAUAUUGUUACUUACCACACUCUACCACAUGCUGAACUAAAAUUGGAAGAAGCAGCCCAGACCAGUGGGUCCCGGAGAACAGAUGUCUAACAGACCAUUCCGCCUGGAGGAGUGGGCCCUGCGAGGUGAGCAACUGGGACCAGACAACCCAGUGGUGCUGCUGGCGUGUGUUGUCAGCUCCACCAGGAGCAAAUUCCCCUCUUCUGAUGGGCACUACAUGGGGUUACUGGAGGUUGAGGAGUCGCAAGAUAUAAUAAAUUACAUGUUAAAUUAAACAAAGUAUAAAAAACGUCUUACUGCACGUUCUUGUCAUUAUGCUAUGCAUAACUUUGGAGCAGGGUUAAUAAAUCAGAUGCCACAAACGUAAAA